UCCAUAGGUUAAUGAGGCGAACCGGGGGAACUGAAACAUCUAAGUACCCCGAGGAAAAGAAAUCAACCGAGAUUCCCCCAGUAGCGGCGAGCGAACGGGGAGGAGCCCAGAGCCUGAAUCAGCAUGUGUGUUAGUGGAAGCGUCUGGAAAGGCGCGCGAUACAGGGUGACAGCCCCGUACACAAAAGCGCAUGUGCUGUGAGCUCGAUGAGUAGGGCGGGACACGUGGUAUCCUGUCUGAAUAUGGGGGGACCAUCCUCCAAGGCUAAAUACUCCUGACUGACCGAUAGUGAACCAGUACCGUGAGGGAAAGGCGAAAAGAACCCCGGCGAGGGGAGUGAAAAAGAACCUGAAACCGUGUACGUACAAGCAGUGGGAGCACCCUUUGGGUGUGACUGCGUACCUUUUGUAUAAUGGGUCAGCGACUUAUAUUCUGUAGCAAGGUUAACCGAAUAGGGGAGCCGGAGGGAAACCGAGUCUUAAUUGGGCGUUAAGUUGCAGGGUAUAGACCCGAAACCCGGUGAUCUAGCCAUGGGCAGGUUGAAGGUUGGGUAACACUAACUGGAGGACCGAACCGACUAAUGUUGAAAAAUUAGCGGAUGACCUGUGGCUGGGGGUGAAAGGCCAAUCAAACCGGGAGAUAGCUGGUUCUCCCCGAAAGCUAUUUAGGUAGCGCCUCGUGAAUUCAUCUCCGGGGGUAGAGCACUGUUUCGGCUAGGGGGCCAUCCCGGCUUACCAACCCGAUGCAAACUGCGAAUACCGGAGAAUGUUAUCACGGGAGACACACGGCGGGUGCUAACGUCCGUCGUGAAGAGGGAAACAACCCAGACCGCCAGCUAAGGUCCCAAAGUCAUGGUUAAGUGGGAAACGAUGUGGGAAGGCCCAGACAGCCAGGAUGUUGGCUUAGAAGCAGCCAUCAUUUAAAGAAAGCGUAAUAGCUCACUGGUCGAGUCGGCCUGCGCGGAAGAUGUAACGGGGCUAAACCAUGCACCGAAGCUGCGGCAGCGACACUGUGUGUUGUUGGGUAGGGGAGCGUUCUGUAAGCCUGUGAAGGUGUGUCGUGAGGCAUGCUGGAGGUAUCAGAAGUGCGAAUGCUGACAUAAGUAACGAUAAAGCGGGUGAAAAGCCCGCUCGCCGGAAGACCAAGGGUUCCUGUCCAACGUUAAUCGGGGCAGGGUGAGUCGACCCCUAAGGCGAGGCCGAAAGGCGUAGUCGAUGGGAAACGGGUUAAUAUUCCCGUACUUGGUGUUACUGCGAAGGGGGGACGGAGAAGGCUAUGUUGGCCGGGCGACGGUUGUCCCGGUUUAAGCGUGUAGGCUGGUUUUCCAGGCAAAUCCGGAAAAUCAAGGCUGAGGCGUGA
rnacentral:rRNA from 1 species